rnacentral:rRNA from 1 species
AUUACCGAGUUUACAACUCCCAAACCCAUGUGAACAUACCUACUGUUGCUUCGGCGGGAUUGCCCCGGGCGCCUCGUGUGCCCCGGAUCAGGCGCCCGCCUAGGAAACUCAACUCUUGUUUUAUUUUGGAAUCUUCUGAGUAGUUUUUACAAAUAAAUAAAAACUUUCAACAACGGAUCUCUUGGUUCUGGCAUCGAUGAAGAACGCAGCGAAAUGCGAUAAGUAAUGUGAAUUGCAGAAUUCAGUGAAUCAUCGAAUCUUUGAACGCACAUUGCGCCCGCCAGUAUUCUGGCGGGCAUGCCUGUCUGAGCGUCAUUUCAACCCUCAUGCCCCUAGGGCGUGGUGUUGGGGAUCGGCCAAAGCCCGCGAGGGACGGCCGGCCCCUAAAUCUAGUGGCGGACCCGUCGUGGCCUCCUCUGCGAAGUAGUGAUAUUCCGCAUCGGAGAGCGACGAGCCCCUGCCGUUAAACCCCCAACUUUCCAAGGUUGACCUCAGAUCAGGUAGGAAUACCCGCUGAACUUAAGCAUA